AAAAUGAUGACAGUUCAUGUUUGUAGAAUAAUAAGGACUAUAUUGUUUGAGUAUAUAUAAAUUUAAAGUGUGUAUCAUGCUAUUUGAAAACAGAAUAUUUUGUUAUGCAUCCAGCCACUUGGCAACCAUAAGAGUGGAGUCCUAAAACGUAGAGGCUAGCAUGUUCUUAAGGUGAAUGUGGAAAUAUAGAGGUCCUUCUACAAAGAUAGCUUAAAAUAAUAUGACUAUUUGUCAUAAUUUCAAAUAUUUAAUGUUGUGGUACACAGCAAACAGUAAGAGUGAAGUUAAGAGGAAGUGUGAAUAACAACUUCAGUGCUGUUACAUGUAGACCCUCCAAACCCUAAACACUGA